UACGGAGGGCGCGAGCGUUGUCCGGAAUCACUGGGCGUAAAGGGCGCGUAGGUGGCGCGGCAAGUCAACGGUGAAAACUCGAGGCUUAACCUCGAGCUGUCGGCGGAAACCAUCUGGCUAGAGUCCGGAAGAGGAGAAUGGAAUUCCCGGUGUAGCGGUGAAAUGCGCAGAUAUCGGGAAGAACACCCGUGGCGAAGGCGGUUCUCUGGGACGGUACUGACGCUGAGACGCGAAAGCGUGGGGAGCGAACAGG
rnacentral:rRNA from 1 species